UGUGACCUCAAAUCAGGUAGGACUACCCGCUGAACUUAAGCAUAUCAAUAAGCGGAGGAAAAGAAACUAACAAGGAUUCCCCUAGUAACUGCGAGUGAAGCGGGAAAAGCUCAAAUUUAAAAUCUGGCAGCCUUUGGUUGUCCGAGUUGUAAUCUAGAGAAGUGUUAUCCGCGCUGGACCGUGUACAAGUCUCCUGGAAUGGAGCGUCAUAGAGGGUGAGAAUCCCGUCUUUGACACGGACUGCCAGGGCUUUGUGAUGCGCUCUCAAAGAGUCGAGUUGUUUGGGAAUGCAGCUCAAAAUGGGUGGUAAAUUCCAUCUAAAGCUAAAUAUUGGCGAGAGACCGAUAGCGAACAAGUACCGUGAGGGAAAGAUGAAAAGAACUUUGGAAAGAGAGUUAAACAGUACGUGAAAUUGCUGAAAGGGAAACGCUUGAAGUCAGUCGCGUUGUCCAGGGAUCAACCUUGCUUUUGCUUGGUGCACUUUCUGGUUGACGGGUCAGCAUCAAUUUUGACUAUUGGAAAAAGAUUAGGGGAAUGUGGCAUCUUUGGAUGUGUUAUAGCCCUUGGUUGCAUACAAUGGUUGGGAUUGAGGAACUCAGCACGCCGCAAGGC
rnacentral:rRNA from 1 species